AGGCUUCCCGGAGCGACGCCGCGUGGAUGAWGAAGGCCUUCAGGUUGUAAAGUUCUUUUGUUGGGGAAGAAUAACCAUGGGAGGGAAUGCCCGUGGGAUGACAUGAACCGACGAAUAAGCCCCGGCUAACUACGUGCCAGCAGCCGCGGUAACACGUAGGGGGCGAGCGUUGUUCGGAAUUACUGGGCGUAAAGGGCAUGUAAGCSGUCUUGUAAGCUUGGCGUGAAAGACCNCGGCUCAACCGUGGGAUUGCSUUGAGAACUGCGAGGCUUGAGUGACGGAAAGGGAGCUAGAAUUCCUGGUGUAGGGGUGGAAUCUGUAGAGAUCAGGAAGAAUACCAAUGGCGAANGCAAGCUCCUGGCCGAUGACUGA
rnacentral:rRNA from 1 species